GCAUUAUAAUUUCAACUUGGCCGAAUAUAAAAUAUCUCAUGUACACAUAAAUCACUCUUUUAACAUGCAUAAUUAUAUCAUCAUCUCAAAUACUAUACUUACCUUAUUUUCAUGAACACUUAACUUCACACGUACUUGAACUAUUUAGCUCGAUUUCACAUUCGAUCUUAACUCAACAUUGCCCGCUAAACCAUUCGGAAUCAAUAAGGAUACUCGGAUAGCUCGAAAAGCUAGUAUAAUGCCAACGUCCCAGACGAGGUUUUACAUGUAAUCAAAUAUCGAUGCCACUGUCCCAGACAAGGUCUUACACGUAAAUCUCAAAUCGAUACCAACGUCCCAAGCGUGGUCUUACACGAAAUCACAUAUCAAAAUCCCAUGUCAGGACAUAUGUAUCCUAACUAUUCCUAAGGUUCGAACGGGGCUUUCAGACGUCGUAAUUCGAUUGAUUCAAGCUCGUAACAUCCUUUAUUCACUUAUGGCAAUGUAAUUAUACAUACAUACAAUUAAAUUCGGCUAUGUACAAAAUAAAUACAUACAAUUUAACAUCCUUUAUUCACUUAUGAACUUACCUCGGACGAAGACGAACGGACCGGGACGACUAUUCGACAACUUUUGAUUUCCCUCGAUCCAAAUCCGAUUUCUUCUUUUCUUGAUCUAAAUUAAUACAAAUUUGACUUUUUUUAAUCAUAUAUUUAUUCAAAUUCACCCAAAAAUACAUAAAUGGGAAAAUUGCAAUUUAGCCCCUAACAUUUCACAUUUCUCACAAUUUAGUCCCUAUUUCACAAAACACAAAAUAUUCAAAAUUUCACCCAAGCUUGGCCGAAUUCCACUAGGGUCCCUAGCAGCCCAUUUCUUUCAUUUAUUUCAAAUUUUAACCCUUAAAUUUUUGAAAUUCACAAUUUAAUCCUAAAUAGGUAUUUUUACUAAAAAUCACUUAAUUAAACUUGACAAUCUAACAACAUAUAUUUAUUUUUCAUCAUCAAACAACGAAAAAAACCACAAGCUAUCAUCAAUGGCAAAUCACAAAAUCCACAACAAAUUCAAAAAUUCAAGCAUGGUUUAGCUAGUAUUCGAAACAACGAUCUCAAAAACGAAAAAAUUAUCAAAAACCAAGCAAAACACAUACCGAAUUCAAGCUUCCAAAGUUUAGAACUUAGCUUGUUCUUUUCUUUCAUUUUUGCUUUUGAAGUUUUGGCCAAAGAUGAGAAAAUGCAUGACCAUUUUGUGUUUUAUUUUAUUUAAUUACAUUUUAUUAUACAUUUAUCAUAUUAACCUUAAUGAAAUCACUUUAAUAAUUAACUAAACAUGUCCAUAAAAUUCCACUCAUAUUUUCAAUGGUAUAAUAUCAACAUAAGGACCCCACAUUAGAAAAGCCAUAGCAAUAUAGCACUUUAACAAAUAACUAGCCACUUUUGCAUUUUACGCAAUUAAGUCUUUUAUAAAAUCGAGCACACAAACGAUAAAAUUUUCACUCAAAAUUUUCAAACAUAUAAAUAAACAUGUUGUAGACACCAAAAAUAAUAUUUAAAUAUUUUUCUGACUCAGAUUUGUUGUCCCAAAACUACUGUCUGACUAGGGUCUAAACCGGGCUGUUACAACAUUGGUCAUGUUAAUGGCGUAGAAAACCAUUUACUAUUUUCUCUUAAUAAUUGUCCUUAAUUUAAAAACAUCAUCUUGAAGUUCUUUAAGAAAUUCCAAAUGUUGUCUAUAAAUUUUCUUUUGAAAGAAUUCGUCGAAAUCUUCUUUCUUUUAGAAAAAUUCAAGUAUUGAUAGUUUUAAAAAAAUGUCAAUUUUCGGUUAAAACAUCGCAGCGGACAAUUUAUAUAUGUAAAACUUGUUCUUCGUUUUGAAAAUGUAGAUUUAAUAUAACUUGUAAACCAUCAGUUUUGUGAGCAAGUAAUGUUGAGUUUUGAAAAUAGAGUAUCGAGUUUGAAAACACUAUCGUUGUGUUGGAUUAACCUUAUUGUAAAAAAAUCUAUCAUGUAAUUAUUAUUUGAUAAAACUUGUUAAUUACUAGUUUAAAACGUACGUGAUGCAAAACCAUCCAAAAAACACGAUAAAUUCAAAGUCUAAAAGAAAGUCCCAAACCAAAGUCCACAAAAAUAAUAACACACCCAAAGUAUAUCGAAUACCAAAUAAAUAAGUUUUCCUGAAAACGACCGAGAGUACCUUCGUAAGCUUAGCUAUCCUAACCUUGAUUAUUAUCUAGAAAAUCAUAAUUUAAAGGGGUGAGUUUAAAAAGCCCAGUGUGAGUUACAAAUAACAAUAAUAGAAUUUAACACAUAAUUGCAUCGGUUUAACCAGAUCAUAGACUUACUAAAUUUUCAGUCACAGAAUCACAUUUAUCAGAAUGCAUAGUAACGAUGUCAAUGCAACAUUUUUUUCAGAAAUCAAUAUAGAUUUUCAAAAAACAUAUCCUACCCAUAUCUGCUACACACCACAAUGAGUUCCCUGGAACUCUUCAAUCCAGUAACACACCAAUGUUAUAGACAAGCCACCAGAUAGUGCAGUCAUGCUGCCAAAAACAAAAUGUUAUGGUCAAGCCACCAGAUAAUGCAGAUUUACUGCCAAAUACAGAAGAUUAUCGAUAAGCCACCAAAAAUUUGCAAAUAUACUGCCAGAUACUUUCUCUAUACACAUUUUUCUAACCCCAUGCAUGUGAAAUGGCAUACAGAACAGAUUUUACACUAGGCAUGCUUUACAUGCGACUCAGAUCUUAGUACAAUUUAUCACAGUGGCAUGCUUAACAUGCAAAUCAGAAUCAGAAAUAUGUCAUGCUUAACAUGUGAAUCGGAACAUCAGAAUAUUAACAUGUUUAACAUGUAAAUUAGAACAUCAAUAACUUAAUAUCACGUUUAUCAUACAUACAUAUUCAAAUCACCAUAUAUCACAUUUAAUGAGUAUUAGGAAUCACGUAUUAUCACAUUUAACAAAAAAAUUCACUAAAUCACGUAUCAACAACACAGAUCUGAAGUUUCGGAAACACUUACUUGGAAUCCUCUUUUAUCGGAUUUUAUCAACCCUUAUGAAUACUUAAAGUAUUCACCCAAUAUCACAUUUCAGAAACUUAUUUAAACAUCAAUUAAACACUUCUAAAAUAUAAACAUUUUAUAUUGAUUAAUUAUAAUGUUAUUUAUUUAAAUCAAAUAGGUCCUCACACCUUGGCAAAUCGAUCGCAAGGAUCCCGAUUCCAACUUCUAAUAAAAGAGUUCGAUUCUUGAGCUUCUAUGGUUAAAACCAUUCACACGUAUUAGAAUAGUUUACUAAAUAAAUAGUCCUCCAAUUAUACGAUUCAAUAAAGUAAUUGCGUAAUUGAUCACCUAAUUGCACUCUAACACAAGUGGUGUAUGGAUUCCGGGAUUUGAAUAGCACUUCAAUAAAAUCGUUAAACCAAAUUAAUAUGCGUUGUAUUAAUCGAAUAUGUAUGUAUAAAAUGUACAAGAGGGAAUCAAGAACAGUUGAUCGACUAUACUUAC
rnacentral:lncRNA from 1 species